AGAGUUUGAUCCUGGCUCAGGACGAACGCUGGCGGCGUGCCUAACACAUGCAAGUCGAGCGGGGUGAGUUCUUCGGAACGAUCCUAGCGGCGGACGGGUGAGUAACACGUGGGUAACCUGCCUCAAAGUGGGGGAUAGCCUUUCGAAAGGAAGAUUAAUACCGCAUAACCCAUAGCUUCCGCAUGGAAGCAAUGGUAAAGAUUUAUCGCUUUGAGAUGGACCCGCGGCGCAUUAGCUAGUUGGUGAGGUAACGGCUCACCAGGGCCACGAUGCGUAGCCGACCUGAGAGGGUGAUCGGCCACAUUGGAACUGAGCCACGGUCCAGACUCCUACGGGAGGCAGCAGUGGGGAAUAUUGCACAAUGGGCGCAAGCCUGAUGCAGCAACGCCGCGUGAGUGAUGAAGUUUUCGGAUUGUAAAGCUCUGUCUUUGGGGACGAUAAUGACGGUACCCAAGGAGGAAGCCACGGCUAACUACGUGCCAGCAGCCGCGGUAAUACGUAGGUGGCAAGCGUUGUCCGGAUUUACUGGGCGUAGAGGGUGCGUAGGUGGAUAUUUAAGUCAGAUGUGAAAUCUUUGGGCUCAACCCAGGACCUGCAUUUGAAACUGGAUGUCUAGAGUGCGGGAGAGGUAAAGUGGAAUUCCUAGUGUAGCGGUGAAAUGCGUAGAGAUUAGGAAGAACACCAGUGGCGAAGGCGACUUACUGGACCGUAACUGACACUGAGGCACGAAAGCGUGGGUAGCAAACAGGAUUAGAUACCCUGGUAGUCCACGCCGUAAACGAUGAGUACUAGGUGUAGGGGGUAUCGACUCCCCCUGUGCCGCAGUUAACACAAUAAGUACUCCGCCUGGGGACUACGGCCGCAAGGCUAAAACUCAAAGGAAUUGACGGGGGCCCGCACAAGCAGCGGAGCGUGUGGUUUAAUUCGAUGAUACGCGAAGAACCUCACCCAGGUUUGACAUGCAUGUGGUACUGAUGUGAAAGCUGAGGGACCCUUCGGGGAGCAUGCACAGGUGUUGCACGGCCGUCGUCAGCUCGUGCCGUGAGGUGUUGGGUUAAGUCCCGCAACGAGCGCAACCCCUGUCGCCAGUUGUAUUUUUCCGGCGAGACUGCCGAGAAAACCUCGGAGGAAGGAGGGGACGAUGUCAGGUCAGCGUGGCCCUUACGCCUGGGGCUACACACACGCUACAAUGGGCAGUACAACGGGUCGCCAAGCCGCGAGGUGGAGCUAAUCCCAUCAAAACUGUCCUCAGUUCGGAUUGCAGGCUGAAACCCGCCUGCAUGAAGCCGGAGUUGCUAGUAACCGCAGGUCAGCAUUACUGCGGUGAAUACGUUCCCGGGCCUUGUACACACCGCCCGUCACGUCAUGAAAGUUGGUAACACCUGAAGCCGGUGGGCUAACCGCAAGGAGGCAGCCGUCGAGGGUGGGACCAGCGAUUGGGACGAAGUCGUAACAAGGUAGCC
rnacentral:rRNA from 1 species